rnacentral:tRNA from 2 species
CGGGGCGUAGCGCAGCCUGGUAGCGCGCACGGUUCGGGACCGUGAGGUCGGAGGUUCGAAUCCUCUCGCCCCGACCA